GAUGAAGAACGUAGCGAAAUGCGAUACGUAGUGUGAAUUGCAGAAUUCAGUGAAUCAUCGAAUCUUUGAACGCACAUUGCGCCCUUUGGUAUUCCAAAGGGCAUGCCUGUUCGAGCGUCAUUUGUACCCUCAAGCUUUGCUUGGUGUUGGGCGUCUUGUCUCCAGUCCGCUGGAGACUCGCCUUAAAGUCAUUGGCAGCCGGCCUACUGGUUUCGGAGCGCAGCACAAGUCGCACUCUUUUCCAGCCAAGGUCAGCGUCCAACAAGCCUUUUUUCAACUUUUGACCUCGGAUCAGGUAGGGAUACCCGCUGAACUUAAGCAUAUCAAAAGCGGAGGA
rnacentral:misc_RNA from 1 species